AUUCUACUCUUGCCCUACAAAAUUGCCAUCAUCCUUUUCUCUUUUAUAAAGUACUGGAGAGAUACAGUCAAGUUACAUCUGCUUCAUUCCCAAAGGCUCAAAGGCUCCCCCGGCCCAUCUCUCGCUGCACCAGGCCCUUUCUCUCUUGACCCUUCUUACUCCUCUUCUCACUCCUCCUUUGCCUGCCAGGAAUCACUGUCAACAGAACCCACGGAGGGUCGGCUGCCUGCCGGGGACUAGUUUCUGUAAGGCAGAAAGAAGCACCAGGAGAUCCGAAAGUGAAUCAUAAAUGUGCUGGGAUUUCAGAAGAUGUUACUGGAUGCAGGAAUGGAGAGGACCUGGCUUGGAAAUUUCAAGUAAAGGGGUACCAGAGUUGAAUAGGGGAUCCAUGCCUGAACAAUCAGUUAGAGAAAAUUAAGAGCCAAUUUUUUUCUGUUGCCGUGGUUUCAGCUCCCAUUUCUAUGCUGAGGAAUCCUGAAAUCUCUAUCUCUAGCACGGUAUUUCUCAUGAGCUUCUCAACUCUUUAUCUUAAUGGCCAUCUUCCCCUGAACAGUCCACAGAAAAGUGAAACUGAAAAUGUCUAAAAUCAUAUGAUUCCUUUCCUGCCUUCAAACCUACUUCUCAUUCUGUUUCCUACACUUUUGUGGAGCCCCCAUCUAUCUAGUUAUCCACAUUAGAAACCUAUUCCCAACAUACCCCACUCAUUUCUCAAAUUCAAUCGCAAUCCUAUAAAUUUUGCAUUCCAGAUAUUUUAUGAAUUUAUUAUACUUCUCCAUCUCUAAGUCAAAGCAGCAAAAUGUUCAAUAAGCAGCUCCAGCAUGGCCCCAGGCUAAUGGCAGUAAUUAAAUCCAGAAUGCAUAGGACUCCAUGGUGGCAUUCCAUAAGGAGAAUUCUAUAAACAUAUCACCUUUCCGGCCACACAUUUUUUUCUUCCAGAAAUUAAUGUUUACCUUGUAGGAAAGUGCUGGGCAUUUUAAUUUUUUCCUGAAACUUUACAUUCUUAUCACCCUCCUAGCUUUCUUUUAACAGGUAAUUAACUCGUAAGAAUCUUAAGAUUCAUAUAUUGGCCAGACCAAUGCCAUCACUGUCUAUUUGCUAUAGAGAAGGGGUCCACUGAGAGUCAGAGUAGUCCUGCAGCCUCAUGACUGUGACAAGUGGUACCCACAGAGGUUUCCAAUGCCAGUGGCAGGCGUGUGACCUUGGGCCCUCUGUGCCUUGGGAGGACACUAUCACAGAAGAGAUAUGCAUAUCAAUUUGGGAAAAGCUGGAAAAAGUUAUCAGUCAUUUCCUGAUUCUAUUAAGAAUCUGGGAGUCUAGUUUCUACUUGAGUUCCCUAAAGAAAUAAAAAUAUGCACCAUUUGGGGAUAAGCAGGGAAUGGGAGAAAGGGUACAGCAUAUUACAUCCCCAUCCCAAUCAACAGAAAGAAAAUUAGGAAAGGACUGUCAAUUCUCAUGAAGUUGACAUUAUUUCAUGAAACUGAAUUACUCUAUAAAUAUUUAAUAAUCUACCCUGCCUAAGCAAUGUGGGCACAUAGAGCUGCAAAUAACAUUGCCAUGAUUGUUGUCUUCAGCAAGCUUACAGUACAGCAAGAGACGAAGUCAUGGAAACAAGAACUUACAAAGCAAUGUCAUUAGAAUUGUAUGUAAUGUGUGUGAAGGGAGGUGCAGACAUGUGAAGUGGACAGCCAACUAGAUUUAGGGGAGAGUGAAAAAAGAUAUUGCUGCAGGAAAUUAUAUCCAAGCUGAGACCAGAAGUUGAACAAAAGUUGGUCAAGUUGCAGAAAGAGAGUAUGCACAGAGGAGAUGGGUUCUGGGAGAAAGCAACAGCAUGGGCAAAGGCCCAGGAAUGGGAGAUGGUCGGGCCCAUUUAGGACUACAAAAGAAGUUUAUCCUAGCUUGUGUAGAACUGAUACACAAAGUGAUGAGAUAUAAGACCAGAAAAACAAUGUUUGAACUUUGAAGGCUCUUAUUGGCUGCAUGGAGAAAUUAAGACUUUGUCAUGUCUUGUGUCUUAGAAAUGUCACUCAUAGUGAAAAGAAUGGAUUAAAAGGGGAGAAGGCUAGAGGAAGGGUUAUUGAUUAGGAGGCUUAUUCCAGUAAUUUAGAUGAGGAAUUAUGUUGGCUUUUGUUAAGGAAAUAACAAUGAGGAUGUAAAUAAGUGGUUAUGUUAAAAAAUAUUUAGGAAUUCGACUCAAUAAGAAUUGGUGAUUACCAAUCUACAGUUGCAAAGACAUGGAACAAACUUAAGUGCCCACUGACCAAUGAGUGGAUAAAAGAAAACAUGGUAUAUAUAUACCAUGGAACUACUCAGCCAUAAAAAGGAAUGAAAUGUCCUUUUCAGCAACUUAAAUGGAGCUGGAGGCCAUUAUUCUAAGUGAAGUAACUCAGGAAUGGAAAACAGAAUACCAUAUGUUCUUACUUAUAAGUGGGAGCUAAACUAUGAGUAAGCAAAGGCAUACAGAGUGAUAUAAUGAACUUUGGAGACUCAGAAGGGGAAGGAUGGGAAGGAGUAAAGGAAAAAACAUCUACAUGUUGGGUAUAAUAUACACUAUUCAGGUGACAGGUGCACUAAAAUCUCAGAAUUCACCACUAUAUAAUUCAUCCACAUAACCAAAAACCACCUGUACCCCAAAAGCUAUUGAAAUCUAAAAAUAAAUAAAUAAAAAUUUUAAAAAUAGAAUGGUGAUAACAGGAAGACUGAGGAGACAGCAAAACUAAGAAGGACCCCAUGUGUCUGACAUUAGCAGUUUGUUGGAUGGGAAUAGCAUUCACUGUGAUAGGAAACUAGAGAGAAGAAGCAGGUUUGGGGAACGGGAUCAAAGGAGGAUAAUGAGUUGAGUUCCUGAUGUUUUCAGUUCUAGAUUUUUGCAGUAUAUACAAGUGGGAAUAUGCAUAGACAGUUGUGUAUGGAGGUUAGAAGAGAGAUCUGAACAAAGGAUAAACAUCAGAGAGUCAACAGCACAUAAUAGUGACAAUGGGAGUAGAUGACAUCUACCAUGGAGAAGAUGAGAGUAGGAGUUGAGACUUAGAACAGGAACUGGAUUUUUUUUUUUACUUUUUUUUAAUUUUUAAGUUUCAGGAUACAUGUGUAGGAUGUACAGGUUUGUUACAUAGGUAAAUGUGUGUCAUGGUGGUUUGCUGCACCUAUCAACCCAUCACCUAGGUAUUAAGCUCCACAUGCCUUAGCUAUUUAUCCUGAUGCUCUCCCUCCUACCGCCCCCCAACCCCCGACAGGCCCCAGUUUAUGUGGUUCACCGCCGUGUCCAUGUGUUCUCAUUGUUCAGCUCCCACUUAUAAGUGAGCCAUUAUCCUCAGCAAACUCACACAGGAACAGGAACUGGAUCUUGCAGAGGAGACAGAAAAUGCUCACAGAGGGAAGGAGGGACACUGCGGUGGUCUGGAGAGCGGAAGCUUUUCAGAAGGAGUAGUUUACAACAAUAUGAUGCAGUUAUCAAGAAUGGAUUCUGUAUGUGCAGAUAAUGUGAAGAUGUUCAAAAUACAUUGCAUGAAAAGAGCAGGUUGAAGAACAAUAUGUGUGGUAUGAUCUCAUUGUAUAUUUUUAAAUACUGAAUCUGAAUGAAUAUUUCUGGAGAAAUACUGAAGAGAUGGCCAAAAAUAGGUCUUUAAGAAAUAAGACUUAAGAGUCACAGAGAAAAAGGGGCUGCAAAUUACCACUUAAUAUACCUCCAAUAUUGGUAGAAUAUUUUACCUUGAGUGUAUCUUGCAUUUGUAUAGUUUUUAAGUUAAUUAAAAAGAAAGAGAAUUGUUGUCAGUAUCAGUACUGCAGAUAAAGUAAAAUCAAAAUGAAAAAUAUUAAUUAGCUUUGCAACAAGGAGGUCAUUAGUGAAUUAAUAGAAAUAUUUUCAGUGGCCGGACAUGGUGGUUCAUGCCUGUGAUCUCAGCACUUUGGUAAGCAGAGGCAGGUGGAUUGCUUGAGCUCAAGAAUUCAAGACCAGCCUGGGCAACAUGGGGAAACCCAGUCCCUAGAAAAAACUACAAAAAUUAGCUGAGUGUGGUGGCAUGCGCCUGUAGUCCCAGCUACAUGGGGGACUGCGGCAGGAGGAUGGCUUGAGCCUGGGAGGCAGAGGUUGCAUCUGGUGAACAAAGAUUGCACCACUGCACUCCAACCUGAGCAACAGAGCCAG
rnacentral:lncRNA from 1 species